UGACAGUGUUGCCUUUGAAAUCAGUUUUUGUAUUAUAUAUCAUUGAAAAGGAUGUAGUAGUGCACACUGGAGGAAACUUCAUUCACGUGGAAAAUGUAUAACGGGAAAACCGUAUAUGAUAUAUAUACCCCCAAAAUAGCAAUUCCAUGCGACGAGUGCAAGCACCCAGCGACGAAACCCUUCUAACAGUAAAGUGUUCGUUGCCCUUGAUGGCUUGAUUCAAUUAUUUUUUUUAUCGUGUUCAUUGUAAUAGGAUUGUCACGUGUUCGGUAUUUGUACCCCUUUUCUUUGCUGAUUC
rnacentral:lncRNA from 1 species